rnacentral:lncRNA from 1 species
UCUUAGAGAAGGAAAAACACUGUUGGAAUUCUUCUUGCUCCAAGGGUUGUAACUCUUCCUUGAAAGGUUGCUUCUCUUCAAUUUUUAAUAACUAAAUCUCUCAAUUUUUUCUCAAGUGUUUCUUGAAUGAUUCUUUCCUUAAGUGGUGCUUAACCAUAUGUAUUUAUAGCCUUCUAAGUGUCCUAAAUCAAACCUCAUCGGAGAAGAUGUAUCUGUUGUGAGAAGAGACAUGAUGGUGGGAUGAACAGGUUGUGGCACGUCGGCAAUGUUCUUUACGACUAGUGCAUGACAUGCUCUGUGACGAGUCGCAAGGGAGUGACGAGUCGGCACCAACUUGAUUCCUUUAAUCCUUUAAGUCCAUGUCCUUUAGGCAUUUAUUUAUGCACCAUAAUCAUCAAUUG